rnacentral:tRNA from 1 species
GGGGCCGUGGGGUAGCCUGGUGAUCCUCCCGGCUUUGGGAGCCGGUGACCCGAGUUCAAAUCUCGGCGGCCCCA